rnacentral:rRNA from 1 species
AUGAACGCUGGCGGCGUGCCUAAUACAUGCAAGUCGAGCGAACGGACGAGAAGCUUUCUUUUCUGAUGUUAGCGGCGGACGGGUGAGUAACACGUGGAUAACCUACCUAUAAGACUGGGAUAACUUCGGGAAACCGGAGCUAAUACCGGAUAAUAUUUUGAACCGCAUGGUUCAAAAGUGAAAGACGGUCUUGCUGUCACUUAUAGAUGGAUCCGCGCUGCAUUAGCUAGUUGGUAAGGUAACGGCUUACUAAGGCAACGAUGCAUAGCCGACCUGAGAGGGUGAUCGGCCACACUGGAACGGGGACACGGUCCAGACGCCUACGGGAGGCAGCAGUAGGGAAUCUUCCGCAAUGGGCGAAAGCCUGACGGAGCAGCGCCGCGUGAGUGAUGAAGGUCUUCGGAUCGUAAAACUCUGUUAUUAGGGAAGAACAUAUGUGUAAGUAGCUGUGAACAUCUUGACGGUACCUAAUCAGAAAGCCACGGCUAACUACGUG